AUUGAACGCUGGCGGCAGGCCUAACACAUGCAAGUCGAACGAGUGGCGGACUGGUGAGUAAUGUCUGGGCAACUGCCCGAUGGGGGGGGAUAACUACUGGAAACGGUAGCUACUACCGCAUACCAUCGGAUGAGCCCAGAUGGGAUUAGCUAGUAGGGGGGGUAACGGCUCACCUAGGCGACGAUCCCUAGCUGGCCUGAGAGGAUGACCAGCCACACUGGAACUGAGACACGGGCCAGACUCCGACGGGAGGCAGCAGUGGGGAAUAUUGCACAAUGGGCGAAAGCCUGAUGCAGCCAUGCCGCGUGUAUGAAGAAGGCCUUCGGGUUGUAAAGGACUGUCAGCGAGGAGGCGUUACUCACAGAAGAAGCACCGGCUAACUCCGUGCCAGCAGCCGCGGUAAUUC
rnacentral:rRNA from 1 species